rnacentral:rRNA from 1 species
AGUGAACGCUGGCGGUAGGCCUAACACAUGCAAGUCGAACGGCAGCACAGUAAAAGCUUGCUCUUACGGGUGGCGAGUGGCGGACGGGUGAGGAAUACAUCGGAAUCUACUUUUUCGUGGGGGAUAACGUAGGGAAACUUACGCUAAUACCGCAUACGACCUACGGGUGAAAGCAGGGGAUCUUCGGACCUUGCGCGAUUGAAUGAGCCGAUGUCGGAUUAGCUAGUUGGCGGGGUAAAGGCCCACCAAGGCGACGAUCCGUAGCUGGUCUGAGAGGAUGAUCAGCCACACUGGGACUGAGACACGGUCCAGACUCCUACGGGAGGCAGCAAUGGGGAAUAUUGGACAAUGGGCGCAAGCCUGAUCCAGCCAGACCGCGUGGGUGAAGAAGGCCUUCGGGUUGUAAAGCCCUUUUGUUGGGAAAGAAAAGCAGCAGGUUAAUACCCCGCUGUUCUGACGGUACCCAAAGAAUAAGCACCGGCUAACUUCGUG